rnacentral:rRNA from 1 species
UACGUAGGGUGCAAGCGUUGUCCGGAAUUAUUGGGCGUAAAGAGCUCGUAGGCGGCUUGUCGCGUCGGCUGUGAAAACCUGGGGCUCAACCCCGGGCCUGCAGCCGAUACGGGCAGGCUAGAGUUCGGCAGGGGAGACUGGAAUUCCUGGUGUAGCGGUGAAAUGCGCAGAUAUCAGGAGGAACACCGGUGGCGAAGGCGGGUCUCUGGGCCGAUACUGACACUGAGGAGCGAAAGCGUGGGGAGCGAACAGG